AAGUACUUAACAGAAACGAUAUCAUUAACAAAUCCAGUAAAUUGGAGGGUAGAGUAGAGCUACAGGUUGUCCGAAUGCAAAUUGCAAGUACUUAACAGAAACGAUAUCAUUAACAAAUCCAAAUGCAAAUUGCAAGUACUUAACAGAAACGAUAUCAUUAACAAAUCCAAAUGCAAAUUGCAAGUACUUAACAGAAACGAUAUCAUUAACAAAUCCAAAUGCAAAUUGCAAGUACUUAACAGAAACGAUAUCAUUAACAAAUCCAGUAAAUUGGAGGGUAGAGUAGAGCUACAGGUUGUCCAAAUGCAAAAUGCAAGUACUUAACAAAAACGAUAUGAUUAACAAAUCCAGUAAAUUGGACAGCUCUGGUACAAGGGCAUGGAGCCAUAUGCUCACAGAAACGAUUUACAGGCCCAAAGGUGAAGUAAAGAAAAACUAUUUUC
rnacentral:lncRNA from 1 species